GACGAACCGUGCGAACGUUGUUCGGAAUCACUGGGAUUAAAGGGCGCGUAGGCGGGCUGUCAAGUCUGGGGUGAAAUGCCGCGGCUCAACCGUGGAACUGCCUCAGAUACUGACGGCCUCGAGGAAGGUAGGGGCAUGCGGAACUGUAGGUGGAGCGGUGAAAUGCGUUGAUAUCUACAGGAACUCCGGUGGCGAAAGCGGCGUGCUGGACCUUUUCUGACGCUGAGGCGCGAAGGCGCGGGGAGCGAACGGG
rnacentral:rRNA from 1 species